GUGACUGCGUACCUUUUGUAUAAUGGGUCAGCGACUUAUAUUCUGUAGCAAGGUUAACCGAAUAGGGGAGCCGAAGGGAAACCGAGUCUUAACUGGGCGUUAAGUUGCAGGGUAUAGACCCGAAACCCGGUGAUCUAGCCAUGGGCAGGUUGAAGGUUGGGUAACACUAACUGGAGGACCGAACCGACUAAUGUUGAAAAAUUAGCGGAUGACUUGUGGCUGGGGGUGAAAGGCCAAUCAAACCGGGAGAUAGCUGGUUCUCCCCGAAAGCUAUUUAGGUAGCGCCUCGUGAACUCAUCUCCGGGGGUAGAGCACUGUUUCGGCAAGGGGGUCAUCCCGACUUACCAACCCGAUGCAAACUGCGAAUACCGGAGAAUGUUAUCACGGGAGACACACGGCGGGUGCUAACGUCCGUCGUGAAGAGGGAAACAACCCAGACCGCCAGCUAAGGUCCCAAAGUCAUGGUUAAGUGGGAAACGAUGUGGGAAGGCCCAGACAGCCAGGAUGUUGGCUUAGAAGCAGCCAUCAUUUAAAGAAAGCGUAAUAGCUCACUGGUCGAGUCGGCCUGCGCGGAAGAUGUAACGGGGCUAAACCAUGCACCGAAGCUGCGGCAGCGACGCUUAUGCGUUGUUGGGUAGGGGAGCGUUCUGUAAGCCUGCGAAGGUGUGCUGUGAGGCAUGCUGGAGGUAUCAGAAGUGCGAAUGCUGACAUAAGUAACGAUAAAGCGGGUGAAAAGCCCGCUCGCCGGAAGACCAAGGGUUCCUGUCCAACGUUAAUCGGGGCAGGGUGAGUCGACCCCUAAGGCGAGGCCGAAAGGCGUAGUCGAUGGGAAACAGGUUAAUAUUCCUGUACUUGGUGUUACUGCGAAGGGGGGACGGAGAAGGCUAUGUUGGCCGGGCGACGGUUGUCCCGGUUUAAGCGUGUAGGCUGGUUUUCCAGGCAAAUCCGGAAAAUCAAGGCUGAGGCGUGAUGACGAGGCACUACGGUGCUGAAGCAACAAAUGCCCUGCUUCCAGGAAAAGCCUCUAAGCAUCAGGUAACAUCAAAUCGUACCCCAAACCGACACAGGUGGUCAGGUAGAGAAUACCAAGGCGCUUGAGAGAACUCGGGUGAAGGAACUAGGCAAAAUGGUGCCGUAACUUCGGGAGAAGGCACGCUGAUAUGUAGGUGAAGCGACUUGCUCGUGGAGCUGAAAUCAGUCGAAGAUACCAGCUGGCUGCAACUGUUUAUUAAAAACACAGCACUGUGCAAACACGAAAGUGGACGUAUACGGUGUGACGCCUGCCCGGUGCCGGAAGGUUAAUUGAUGGGGUCAGCGCAAGCGAAGCUCUUGAUCGAAGCCCCGGUAAACGGCGGCCGUAACUAUAACGGUCCUAAGGUAGCGAAAUUCCUUGUCGGGUAAGUUCCGACCUGCACGAAUGGCGUAAUGAUGGCCAGGCUGUCUCCACCCGAGACUCAGUGAAAUUGAACUCGCUGUGAAGAUGCAGUGUACCCGCGGCAAGACGGAAAGACCCCGUGAACCUUUACUAUAGCUUGACACUGAACAUUGAGCCUUGAUGUGUAGGAUAGGUGGGAGGCUUUGAAGUGUGGACGCCAGUCUGCAUGGAGCCGACCUUGAAAUACCACCCUUUAAUGUUUGAUGUUCUAACGUUGACCCGUAAUCCGGGUUGCGGACAGUGUCUGGUGGGUAGUUUGACUGGGGCGGUCUCCUCCUAAAGAGUAACGGAGGAGCACGAAGGUUGGCUAAUCCUGGUCGGACAUCAGGAGGUUAGUGCAAUGGCAUAAGCCAGCUUGACUGCGAGCGUGACGGCGCGAGCAGGUGCGAAAGCAGGUCAUAGUGAUCCGGUGGUUCUGAAUGGAAGGGCCAUCGCUCAACGGAUAAAAGGUACUCCGGGGAUAACAGGCUGAUACCGCCCAAGAGUUCAUAUCGACGGCGGUGUUUGGCACCUCGAUGUCGGCUCAUCACAUCCUGGGGCUGAAGUAGGUCCCAAGGGUAUGGCUGUUCGCCAUUUAAAGUGGUACGCGAGCUGGGUUUAGAACGUCGUGAGACAGUUCGGUCCCUAUCUGCCGUGGGCGCUGGAGAACUGAGGGGGGCUGCUCCUAGUACGAGAGGACCGGAGUGGACGCAUCACUGGUGUUCGGGUUGUCAUGCCAAUGGCACUGCCCGGUAGCUAAAUGCGGAAGAGAUAAGUGCUGAAAGCAUCUAAGCACGAAACUUGCCCCGAGAUGAGUUCUCCCUGACUCCUUGAGAGUCCUGAAGGAACGUUGAAGACGACGACGUUGAUAGGCCGGGUGUGUAAGCGCAGCGAUGCGUUGAGCUAACCGGUACUAAUGAACCGUGAGGCUUAACCUUACAACGCCGAAG
rnacentral:rRNA from 1 species